rnacentral:misc_RNA from 1 species
GAUGAAGAACGUAGCGAAAUGCGAUAAGUAAUGUGAAUUGCAGAAUUCAGUGAAUCAUCGAAUCUUUGAACGCACAUUGCGCCCCGUGGUAUUCCGCGGGGCAUGCCUGUUCGAGCGUCAUUACACCACUCAAGCCUCGCUUGGUAUUGGGCGACGCGGUACGCCGCGCGCCUCAAAUCUUCCGGCUGGUUCGAAUCGUCCCUCAGCGUUGUGGAAACUAUUCGCUAAAGGUGCGCGUUUCGGUCACGCCGUUAAACAAGCCAAUUUCAUUAAAGGUUGACCUCGGAUCAGGUAGGGAUACCCGCUGAACUUAAGCAUACAAUAAGCGGAGGA